UACGUAGGCAGCGAGCGUUGUUCGGAGUUACUGGGCGUAAAGGGUGUGUAGGCGGUUGUUUAAGUUUGGUGUGAAAUCUCCCGGCUCAACUGGGAGGGUGCGCCGAAUACUGAAUGACUUGGAGUGCGGGAGAGGAAAGUGGAAUUCCUGGUGUAGCGGUGAAAUGCGUAGAUAUCAGGAGGAACACCGGUGGUGUAGACGGCUUUCUGGACCGUAACUGACGCUGAGACACGAAAGCGUGGGUAGCAAACAGG
rnacentral:rRNA from 1 species